AUCGAACGCCGGCGGAAUGCUUUACACAUGCAAGUCGAACGGUAGAGGGGGCAACCCCUCGAGAGUGGCGAACGGGUGAGUAAUAUAUCGGAACGUGCCCAGUCGUGGGGGAUAACGUAGCGAAAGUUACGCUAAUACCCCAUACGAUCUAAGGAUGAAAGCGGGGGAUCGCAAAACCUCGCGUGAUUGCAGCGGCCGAUAUCCGAUUAGGUAGUUGGUGGGGUAAAGGCUCACCAAGCCAACGAUCUGUAGCGGGUCUGAGAGGACGACCAGCCACACUGGAACUGAGACACGGUCCAGACUCCUACGGGAGGCAGCAGUGGGGAAUUUUGGACAAUGGACGCAAGUCUGAUCCAGCCAUUCCGCGUGCAGGAUGAAGGCCCUCGGGUUGUAAACUGCUUUUGUACGGAACGAAAAGGUCACUCUUAAUACGGGGGACUCAUGACGGUACCGUAAGAAUAAGCACCGGCUAACUACGUGCCAGCCGCCGCAGUAACAC
rnacentral:rRNA from 1 species